UAAAUGCCACACUAGCGAACUAAUGCACCAUAUAAAUCACAUACGAUACCAACUAUCACAAACAACACAAUUUCAGAAAAUAGUCAAGAUAGAAGAGAUAUAGCAUAGAGAAACCAAGUCGGGAUACUUAAAACACGUGGCAAAAACUUGACACUAGUACAUAACUAAAAGGUAUAAUGUCAAACAACAUCCAAAUUAGCAUAAGACAGUAUCCG
rnacentral:lncRNA from 1 species